GGAGUUUGGACCGUGUCUCAGUUCCAAUGUGGGGGACCUUCCUCUCAGAACCCCUACUGAUCGCAGGCUUGGUGGGCCGUUACCCCGCCAACAACCUAAUCAGACGCAUCCCCAUCCCAUAGCGGUGAACCUUUGGUAUUCCUCAGAUGUCAUCAAAAUACAACAUAGAGUAUUAAUCCGACUUUCGCCGGGCUAUCCUCUACUAAGGGGAAGGUUGGAUACGCGUUACUCACCCGUGCGCCGGUCGCCAGCGGCAAUAGCAAGCUAUCGCCCUGCUGCCCCUCGACUUGCAUGUGUUAAGCCUGUAGCUAGCGUUCAUC
rnacentral:rRNA from 1 species